CGGCGGACGGGUGAGUAACACGUGGAUAACCUACCUAUAAGACUGGGAUAACUUCGGGAAACCGGAGCUAAUACCGGAUAAUAUAUUGAACCGCAUGGUUCAAUAGUGAAAGACGGUUUUGCUGUCACUUAUAGAUGGAUCCGCGCCGCAUUAGCUAGUUGGUAAGUUAACGGCUUACCAAGGCAACGAUGCGUAGCCGACCUGAGAGGGUGAUCGGCCACACUGGAACUGAGACACGGUCCAG
rnacentral:rRNA from 1 species